rnacentral:lncRNA from 1 species
UUUUAUGACAGGCUGUUGGUUUUAAGAAUGGGUCUUUAAAAAUAGCCAGUUUCACUAUGGGGAAAAAAAAGUCAAUUUCAGUGAACAGUUAAUGAACCUGUGCUAUUCCCUCAAUUCUUCAUACCCUUUUCUUUCUAUAGUUUGAUUACCUUAACCUUUUAUAUAGUGGAAGUAACCGUUAUAGUUCUAGCAAAUUUCUUUCUGUGCUGUUU